AACGUGAGACGCAAGCGUUAUCCGGAGUUACUGGGCGUAAAGCGCGGGCAGGCGGCUCGAAACGUCUGAUGUGAAAUCUCCUCGCUCAACGGGGAGAGGCCAUUGGAAACGGUCGAGCUGGAGGGCAGUAGAGGUAGGCGGAAUUCCGGGUGGAGUGGUGAAAUGCGUAGAGAUCCGGAGGAACACCAGAGGCGAAGGCGGCCUACUGGGCUGCACCUGACGCUGAGCCGCGAAAGCCAGGGGAGCGAACGGG
rnacentral:rRNA from 1 species